AGCGGCAGGAGGUGGUGCAACGAAACAACCCCCUCGCCUUUUACUAGGGGGUUCCGUGUUCUGCCUCCACAUCAAUGCCGCCUUCCCAAUUUUUCCGAACCUAGCUCCCUCUGAGC
rnacentral:snRNA from 1 species